rnacentral:rRNA from 1 species
GACGAACCGUGCGAACGUUGUUCGGAAUCACUGGGCUUAAAGGGCGCGUAGGCGGCCGACCAAGUCCGGGGUGAAAGCCCCCGGCUCAACCGGGGAAGGGCCUUGGAUACUGGUCGGCUGGAGGGAGGUAGGGGCAGCUGGAACUUCCGGUGGAGCGGUGAAAUGCGUUGAUAUCGGAAGGAACGCCGGUGGCGAAAGCGAGCUGCUGGCCCUCUUCUGACG